AUUGAACGCUGGCGGCAUGCCUUACACAUGCAAGUCGAACGGUAACAGGUCUUCGGAUGCUGACGAGUGGCGAACGGGUGAGUAAUACAUCGGAACGUGCCCGAUCGUGGGGGAUAACGAGGCGAAAGCUUUGCUAAUACCGCAUACGAUCUACGGAUGAAAGCGGGGGAUCUUCGGACCUCGCGCGGACGGAGCGGCCGAUGGCAGAUUAGGUAGUUGGUGGGAUAAAAGCUCACCAAGCCAACGAUCUGUAGCUGGUCUGAGAGGAUGAUCAGCCACACUGGGACUGAGACACGGCCCAGACUCCUACGGGAGGCAGCAGUGGGGAAUUUUGGACAAUGGGCGAAAGCCUGAUCCAGCCAUGCCGCGUGCAGGAUGAAGGCCUUCGGGUUGUAAACUGCUUUUGUACGGAACGAAAGGACUCUGGUUAAUACCUGGGGUCCAUGACGGUACCGUAAGAAUAAGCACCGGCUAACUACGUGCCAGCAGCCGCCGUAAAAC
rnacentral:rRNA from 1 species